CAGAAGCACCAGAAGCAGAUUCUGAUAAGCGUCGACUAGGCGAAACAGAAUGCGGUACCAAGGUUCCUGCCACCGAAAUCGAUGUGCACCACCUUCCAACUGAUGGCGGUUGGGCAGCAGUUUCGAGCCAAUUUAUUUCAUUGAAAUACCGUUGCCGUGAAGAGAUUGAAAAGAAACAUCACAUGACACAAUUUUGAGAUGCAUUUGCUGCAGCGCUCAGAGGAGUUAUAUACCCCUCGGUAAAACACCGCUGGGCGCUGAUUAUAAACUGAAAGCCAUUAGCCUGAAUUUCUUGACGAAAACAGGCUUCCAAGGAAUGAAAUAGAGCAGCGGUCCAAUUAAUAAUCAAAGACUGCAGCGACUAAUAAGGUCCCAAGGAAUUGCCAAGGAAUUAAGAUAACCGUAUUAAAUUACGAGGGCAGAAUUUAAUCGAAUUUUCAAUGGGCUCGAUAAUCUAAAAUUAUCCGAAAGUGACGAAGCGCUUCCCUUUUUUGGAUUACGUAUCUGGUAAGAAAUUUUUGAGAGGAUAAUAACUUACAAUGAAUAUUUUUCAAUACCUCGCACUUUAGCGAUUAACGCUUGGCAGUCUAGCUGGGAUAAUGGCACAAAGGGACGUUGGCUCCAUACGAUUAUCCCUAAGGUUCCGACGAAGGCAUGGUUUAAGCAUUUUAACAUCAAAAUCACUGCCGGCUUGACGCGCAUUUGUUUCGUAUACAACUAGUUACAAGCAAUGUUUGUGUUUGUGGGGAUGGCUACCAUGACAUUGAUCAUGUUGUGUGGACGUGUGAACGGUUUGAUCGAUCGAGGGGUUGGCUACUGGAUACCAUUAGGGCCCGAUGUAAACUACCUGGUGUUCCAAUUCGAGACAUCUUGGCAAACUUAGAUCUUGAAUAUUUGUACCCUAUAUACAAAUAUCUUAAAAUGUCUGACUUGGUCGUUUAGUCCUCUUCCCCUCUGUCUGUACUCUAUCUAAUGCUCGUUUCGUCUAUUUAUUAGAACAAACUUUCAUCCGACGGGUCCUACAACACCUCAAAGAAGGCUGGCCAGGAAAUCGAAAACCCUGAGGUAGCUAUCGAAACCACAGCUACAGGAAGCCACCACCGGACCCUAACGGAAACUGUUCUUGGAAGUGACCCCAGUUAAUCCCCUUUCCUUUCCUAUAAUAAAAUUUUAAUUAACAGUUGAGUAGCCGCGACGAUUACGGCCCCCCUCUUACUAACCCAAAGUUAGGAAAAAUACUCCCGGCACUUAAAAACUUUAUAAGUAAAAUGCCUUAAUAAAACAACUUGUAAAUGUAUCUGUAAACCUAAAAUCACUGGAAGGACGUUCAUUCAAAUUUUGACGAAGGCAGCAUAUUUUCGUUACAUUACUUUGCUUAGAUUGCUGAGUUGAACGAAGUGGUGCAUAUACUAACAGCAAUGCCAACACGAAAUAAGCCGUUAAAAAACAAGAAUGAGGCCCUUAGGCACGACUUCCGGCUGCUGGUGUACAAUCCGAAGUCAUCGAAUUCUCUGUCUGUUUCCGUUGCGGAAUACUUCCUAUCUGUUGACGUGGACGAAUGUUACAGGACAACAUUUCCUCUGGGAGUUUCUUCUACGCUAUAAUUCAUCGUUCUACGUCCAAGGCCAAAAUCGACCCGUUUUAGGAUUUGAGGAUUGACAUUAACGGAUUUGACAUUAACGGAUUGGAGAUGAGAUGGAUUGCACUGAAAUCGAAACCCGAAUGAAGGUUUCGGUCGAGGAGCCUCCCAAAAAGCAACAUUCAAGCAAGUAGCCCCGGGCUGAGCGGUUGAUUUCGAAACGAUUGCUGAUGGAUAAAUAGUGUUGAAUACAAAAGAAAACACUAUAUACACGACUGAUUUGUGACU